rnacentral:misc_RNA from 1 species
UCCGGUUUGUCACCGGCAGUCUCCCUAGAGUGCCCUUGCGUAGCAACUAGGGACAAGGGUUGCGCUCGUUGCGGGACUUAACCCAACAUCUCACGACACGAGCUGACGACAACCAUGCAGCACCUCUGCUCGCUCCCUUGCGGGUCAGCCUCUGUUUCCAGAGACUUACCACGAGUAGUUCAAGCCCAGGUAAGGUUCUUCGCGUUGCGUCGAAUUAAACCACAUGCUCCACCGCUUGUGCGGGCCCCCGUCAAUUCCUUUGAGUUUCAACCUUGCGGCCGUACUCCCCAGGCGGGAUGCUUAAUGCGUUAGCUGCGCCACUGACGAGCAAGCUUGCCAACGGCUAGCAUCCAUCGUUUACGGCGUGGACUAC